rnacentral:rRNA from 1 species
GUGCCUAACACAUGCAAGUCGAACGAAGCAAUUAAGAUGAAGUUUUCGGAUGGAAUCUUGAUUGACUGAGUGGCGGACGGGUGAGUAACGCGUGGAUAACCUGCCUCACACUGGGGGAUAACAGUUAGAAAUGACUGCUAAUACCGCAUAAGCGCACAGUGCCGCAUGGCAGUGUGUGAAAAACUCCGGUGGUGUGAGAUGGAUCCGCGUCUGAUUAGCCAGUUGGCGGGGUAACGGCCCACCAAAGCGACGAUCAGUAGCCGACCUGAGAGGGUGACCGGCCACAUUGGGACUGAGACACGGCCCAAACUCCUACGGGAGGCAGCAGUGGGGAAUAUUGCACAAUGGGCGAAAGCCUGAUGCAGCGACGCCGCGUGAGUGAAGAAGUAUUUCGGUAUGUAAAGCUCUAUCAGCAGGGAAGAAAAUGACGGUACCUGACUAAGAAGCCCCGGCUAACUACGUGCCAGCAGCCGCGGUAAUACGUAGGGGGCAGGCGUUAUCCGGAUUUACUGGGUGUAAAGGGAGCGUAGACGGCGAAGCAAGUCUGAAGUGAAAACCCAGGGCUCAACCCUGGGACUGCUUUGGAAACUGUUUUGCUAGAGUGUCGGAGAGGUAAGUGGAAUUCCUAGUGUAGCGGUGAAAUGCGUAGAUAUUAGGAGGAACACCAGUGGCGAAGGCGGCUUACUGGACGAUAACUGACGUUGAGGCUCGAAAGCGUGGGGAGCAAACAGGAUUAGAUACCCUGGUGGUCCACGCCGUAAACGAUGAAUGCUAGGUGUUGGGGGGCAAAGCCCUUCGGUGCCGCCGCAAACGCAGUAAGCAUUCCACCUGGGGAGUACGUUCGCAAGAAUGAAACUCAAAGGAAUUGACGGGGACCCGCACAAGCGGUGGAGCAUGUGGUUUAAUUCGAAGCAACGCGAAGAACCUUACCAAGUCUUGACAUCCCCCUGACGGGCCGGUAACGCGGCCUUUCCUUCGGGACAGGGGAGACAGGUGGUGCAUGGUUGUCGUCAGCUCGUGUCGUGAGAUGUUGGGUUAAGUCCCGCAACGAGCACAACCCUUAUCCUUAGUAGCCAGCACGCGAAGGUGGGCACUCUAGGGAGACUGCCAGGGAUAACCUGGAGGAAGGUGGGGAUGACGUCAAAUCAUCAUGCCCCUUAUGAUUUGGGCUACACACGUGCUACAAUGGCGUAAACAAAGGGAAGCGAGACAGUGAUGUGGAGCAAAUCCCAAAAAUAACGUCCCAGUUCGGACUGUAGUCUGCAACCCGACUACACGAAGCUGGAAUCGCUAGUAAUCGCGAAUCAGAAUGUCGCGGUGAAUACGUUCCCUGGUCUUGUACACACCGCCCGUCACACCAUGGGAGUCAGCAACGCCCGAAGUCAGUGACCCAACCGAAAGGAGGGAGCUGCCGAAGGCGGGGCAGGUAACUGGGGUGAAAU